CUGUGAGUGAAUGUGUGUGUUGGUCAGUGAGUGUAUAUGUGUCGGUCAGUGAGUGUAUAUGUGUCGGUCAGUGAGUGUGUAUGUGUCAGUCAGUGAGUGUGUAUGUGUCGUCAGUGAGUGUGUAUGUGUCGUCAGUGAGUGUGCGUCUGUCAGUCAAAGUGCGGCCUUGACAGGAAGGGGUGGGGGAAAUUUAAACUCGGUUACAGGCAUGUACACACACACUCAGUUAAAGGCAGUCACACAUACAG